AAAUGUCUCUACGAUGUUUGAUGUUGAUCAUCAUCUGCGUUGUGUUCAUCACCACAGAAGCCGUUUCAGGUGUAGAAGUGAAAGUUUUUGAUAAAGUUGGUGGUACAGUGUCUUUUGGUGCGACCAGCAUAAAUCCUCCUGUCAACAGCAUUAUAUGGAAACACAGAAAGAAUGGUGAAUCUGUUAUAAAAGCGAUUGAAUGGGAUGUUGAUGAUGGUGUUUUCGACCUGAAUCCGAGAUUCAGAGACAUCACAACUCUUGAUGAGAAAACUGGACAAAUCACUAUAACUAAAUUAAAUUUUGAACAUAGUGGACUUUAUACCAUUGACAUCAACAGUAAAGAACAGGAACAAAGAUUCAAGUUGGAAGUGUUGGGCGAAGAUGUGAAGAAAGCAGUGGGUGACGAAAUUUAUUUUCGUCCAGACAAAGAACAGGAACAAAGAUUCAGCUUGACUGUUAAGGGAGAAGAAGGGAAUGUAUUUGGAGAAGUCGGUGGUAGAGUAUCUUUUCGUCCGACCAGCUUAAAUCCUCCUGUCAGCAGCAUUAUAUGGAAACACAGAAACGGUGGAUAUGUUGUAAAAGCGAUUGAAUGGGAUGUUGAUGAUGGUGUUUUCAUCUCGAAUCAGAGAUUCAGAGACAUCACAACUCUUGAUGAGAAAACUGGACAGAUCACUAUAACAAAUUUAAAUGCUGAACAUAGUGGAGAAUAUACCAUUGACAUCAACAGUAAAGAACAGGAACAAAGAUUCAAGUUGACUGUUACGGGUGAAGAAGUGAAUGUAUUUGGUGUAGUUGGUCGUAGAGUAUCUUUUCGUCCGACCAGAAUAGAUUCUCCUGUCAGCAGCAUUAUAUGGAAACACAGAAACGGUGGAGUUGUUGUAAAAGCGAUUGAAUGGGAUGUUGAUUAUGGUGUUUUCAUCUCGAAUCAGAUAUUCAGAGACAUCACAACUCUUGAUGAGAAAACUGGACAGAUCACUAUAACAAAUUUAAAUGCUGAACAUAGUGGUCUUUAUACCAUCAACAUCAACAGUAAAGAACAGGAACAAAGAUUCAAGUUGACUGUUACGGGAAAAGAAGUGAAUGUAUUUGGAGAAGUUGGUGGUAGAGUGUCUUUUCGUCCGACCAGCUGAAAUCCUCCUGUCAGCAGCAUUAUAUGGAAACACAGAAACGGUGGAGUUGUUGUAAAAGCGAUUGAAUGGGAUGUUGAUGAUGGUGUUUUCAUCUCGAAUCAGAGAUUCAGAGACAUCACGACUCUUGAUGAGAAAACUGGACAGAUCACUUUAACUCAUUUAAAUGCUGAACAUAGUGGAGAAUAUACCAUUGACAUCAACAGUAAAGAACAGGAACAAAGAUUCAACUUGGAAGUGAUGGCGCCGGUCCCCAAACCUGUGAUUAGAAAUAGAGAGAAUUAAAAUAUAGCCCUGAUGUUGUGUAUCUAAGUGGAAUGAACGUCUGGAAGAAUUCUGCUGGACAAAUUCUGAAGAGCGCAGAGCACCAUCCCACAGAUGAAUCCAUCACAGCUGAGAAAAAAGGAAAUCCAGAAAACUUAAUUCUACUGAUGCAAACUAUAGAACAGCACAAGUCCAGAGACCAGUGAUCCGGUCUAUGAGAGAGAUCUGUUUAAAGACUAGACAGCCUUUACUAGCAGUACAACAUUAUUAAUCAUAGAGGACAUGUUUAGCAAACUAAUACAUCUCUGUGUAACUUUAUUAUCACCCUUUUCCUGAUUAUAAUUCCUUUUCAUGACACUAUUAUUGUGUAAUCUUUUAAAACAUUUGAAAUGUGUUUUCUAAUAUUCUGUGUAUUGCUUUCUAAAACCGAAAACAAACAUUUAUGAAUAACAUGAAUGUCCUGAAUAUAUGAAUGAAUAUGAAUACAUAUGCAAAGAUUUUUUUUUUGUUGUUGUUCAAGGAAGGACAAUAUCAUAAUCUCUAAAUGGCACCAUAGCUUUGUUUUUGGACUGGGUGAAGAGUAGAUGAUGUAUUAUUUUCUGUUAAAUGUAGAUAUCAAUGCAAUGGGAUUGAUUUUUUUUCUCCUCAGGGCAUGCAUGAACUAAUUACAUGGUAAGCCUAUAUAUUGAAUGUAAAUCAUUUUAAAUAAAAUCCUCUGGCGAAAGUAAAA